GCACAGAAUGGUUGUAAGAAGACACGAUUCAGGAGGACCACUUAGGCCUCUGUGUGGAGGGGGCAAGCGCUGCCACCCAGGCCCAGGAAUGUCAGCACCAGGGUAGGCUCUGGGGACUUCACAGGGGUGAUUGUUGCUGGAGACUUAAGUGGGAGGAGGAGAAGAGGGGCUGGAGAUAGAGAACCAUGGGAGGGGCCACACUCAGGAACUUAUUGUGUCAUUAUCUGGAGGAUAAGAAAUAAGUAAGCCUUGGGCAGCAUGGCCACUAUUGUUGCUUUCAUGCACUGUGUCUGUAACCAGAGAAAAGUUAUAGGGUGCGUCUAUUAACCGAUUGGCCUGGUCUCUGUAAGAGGUUGUUAGAAAGGACUUAGAAGAUUCGAGAUGAUGUUAGGUGAUUCGGGGAAGAGUUCAAGGAAGCAAAGCUUUGCUCAGUCUUGGGUGCUUCAGGAAUAAGGAGGAGUGGGAAUUCUGCAAUUGGAUAUUUAAAAUCUUAAAGAAAAGGCAAGAGGUAUAGAGUAAGGCUAAAGCUGUAAUUGAUAAAGAAGCAGCAGUCCUUCAUAUUAGCCACGAUAGAAAGAUGUUUGGGCAUUUUGUGGUUUGGGUGAUGUUCAUGUUUUUGUCUAUGUUCAGAUAUGAUUCCAGAGUAGUCUUAUUUUUGUCUUCAUAUCCUGGUGACAGAGUGACCUUGUUUGAUGUUGGCAUUCUUUGAAAUUGUUGCAUUUAUGUUAGAACACCAAGUCUGGCUGUGUGUGCCGGGUCAGUUCCCGACAGUCAGGGGCUGCUUUUCUCUCUCACCUCCUGUUGUGUAGGCAUUGUGCUAGAUAUAAAGCAGAUCCUGCUGCAAGAACUUCUAGUCUAAGGGAGAUGUGGAGAGAGUAAGUAAAAUGGAGAGGAGAGUUGAGUGUGAUGUGAGCAGUCUACAACUAGAUGUAUACACAGGUGUGGAGGAGCCCAGGGCCUGGCCCAGCUUGGGGUAAGCAGCCAGUCAAUGAAGGCUUCCAGAAGAUCUGUUAGAGCCAUGUUCUUAAGGAUGGGUAGGAGCUGUCCAGGCAUAUAUACGUGGAGAAUGGACUUUCUAAGCAGAGGGGGCAUUAAGUGCAAAGGUCUGGAAAGAACAAAGUGUGGGGCAGUGAAGGAGCUGCAAGUAGAUCAGUCUGGCUGGAGCUGGAGGUGUAGAUGUGACUGUGUAGAGGGUGGGAGGGAUGGGGCUGAGGAGGGGAGAAAGAUGAGGCUGGAAUGGUAAGAUGGGGCCAGAUUGUCAAGGAUCUGCAUGCUCUCAUCAUAAUCAAGAAUUGAACUUACUGAGUUUUCACUCUGCUCAGUGGAGAGCAAAGCUUUCCGUAGGAAUUGUGUAUUUGCAUCUUUACAAUGGCUUUAAAAGCCUUAGAAGGCGUAAGUUCCUUGAAUAACUUGUAAGUAGUAAAGCUGUCAUCUGUCCUCCCAACCUUGGUUUUAGGAGAGAUGUAUUGUAGGUCACUCUUGCUUCACUGUGGCAAAUCGAUUGCAGGCGGCAGGCCUGGAGAGAGGAGGCAAAAUUUGCUAACCUGUCACAUUGAUCUGG
rnacentral:lncRNA from 1 species